AAAUCGGACAAUUGUCAUGCUGCCAUGUGGCAGCUAAUUUCAAUUAAAAAAUUCAUCCAUAUCUGGUAAUGAUAUUCCUCAAUUUCAUCAAUCCCCUCUUCAAUUGUCGACAAUUUCGAUUCCAAUUGCAUCAAAUUUUAUUUAGUUUCAACAUUUUAGGUUCCACAAUUUUGAGUUCCAUAACCUGAUCGAAGACGAUUCAGCCUUCUUUCAGCUCCAUAAUUUUCAUCCGAUUUCAAAUUGCAGACGAUAUGGCAACUGAUUCGGUUAUCAGAUUUGAUUUGGAUGUUUUUCCAGAAGGUUCGGGAAGCAGUUCUGCAAGCUGAUUGGGGUCCAUGAAGGAUAAGGCCGUGAUGUUGAUAACGGAACCAUUGUGUCAGUGUGGACAAUACGGAGAAAUGUGUUCCCGUGGCAGACAAAAGGAAUACGAGAGAACUUAGUUCAUUUUGAAGUGCUUAAAGAUUGUAAUUGAACUCCAUGAAUUUUGAUCUAUAAUUGAGUCUCAAUGAAUUUAAUCUGCUCCGAUUUGUAGCAA